AAGUAUAUAUAGAUUAGAAGAAGAAAAAAAAGGGCACAGAAACUACCGACGAAGACGUGGACAACUCAUCAAAUUGCAGUGGAAGAUCCGGAUUAUAUAAGGAAGUGUUAUACGAACUUGUUUGAUUACGAGUAAGGUACAAUUGGUAGAUUGAGAAUGUCCUGAAGCUUUACGAAUAGGGGAGAACUAUCUUGAAGAUUCGUGGCACGUAUUCAACAUUCAAGGUAUGUUAAGACUUUUAGACUUCGUUGAGGGAUGUUUUUUUUAUUAAAGAUUAAAAUGGAAUAGACAAUGGGUAAGGGUGAAAUAUGGGGUCUUGUACCAAUGGUGUGACGGGCAUUGGUACGAGUACCAAUGUUAUAAAAAGGAAAA